AUGUUUUAUUUAAUAUAUGAUUCAAAUAUAUGCACAUUUGCAACGUUACACAUACCACCCUUAUGUAGUUAUUUUCUCUCCGUGUGACGAAUUGGUUUAGCUCCGGUUAUUGGAUAUGAAUGGUUCAAUUGCAAAGCAUGCAUAUGGUAUUAAAUGACCGGUAUUUAGUGACAGUAUGAAUAUUCUUUUUGGAAGCGGUGGUAUGAAUAUUCUUCUCAUCUUCCACAGUGCAUCUGUUGAGAGUCUUCAAUGCUCUCAUUUAUGAAACUACAAUUUAAGCCAUGAUGCACUUUUAGCUAAAUUGAUCAACAAAAAAAAGUUGAGAGUCUUCAAUGCAUCUGUUGAGAGUCUUCAUUGCUCUCGUUGAUCAAAAAAAAAAAAUUGAUCAAAAAAAAAGCCAUGAUGCAUUAGUAAUGACAAAGUCUAUAAGAGUACUUCUAAACGGAGAUUUUAAGCUAAAUUUCUCUGACACAAAAAAUAAAAAAAUUAAGAAAAAUAGGAAAGAGAAAUUGAAAAAAUUCCAAAACGCACAUCUGCAAGGACCGAAUGAGAAGAAGUACACUCCACCUGUCUAUAAGUUAUUGGUCAAUUGUUCUUUUUUUUGAAAUUUUAAAUACAUAACGAAUUUAAAUUAAAAAUAUUUAUACUUUAUUAAUAAAAACCUUUCAUUAGUAACGUCA
rnacentral:lncRNA from 1 species